rnacentral:rRNA from 1 species
UACGUAGGGGGCAAGCGUUGUCCGGAAUUAUUGGGCGUAAAGGGCGCGUAGGCGGCCUGGCAAGUGGAUGGUGAAAUCCCUCGGCUUAACCGAGGAACUGCCAUCCAGACUGCUUGGCUUGAGACCGGGAGAGGUGAGUGGAAUUCCCAGUGUAGCGGUGAAAUGCGUAGAUAUUGGGAGGAACACCAGUGGCGAAGGCGGCUCACUGGACCGGUACUGACGCUGAGGCGCGAAAGCGUGGGGAGCAAACGGG